ensembl:rRNA 5S_rRNA 5S ribosomal RNA
GUCUGUGGCCAUACCACCUGGACAGUCCUGAUCUCAUCUGGUCUCAGAAGCUAAGGAGAGUUGGGUCUGGUUAGUACUUGGAUGGGAGAAUUGCAGACAGGGACUGUCC